CAGCCGCCGCGGGAAUACGAAGGGUGCAAGCGUUACUCGGAAUUACUGGGCGUAAAGCGUGCGUAGGUGGUGGUUUAAGUCCGUUGUGAAAGCCCUGGGCUCAACCUGGGAAUUGCAGUGGAUACUGGAUCACUAGAGUGUGGUAGAGGAUAGUGGAAUUUCCGGUGUAGCAGUGAAAUGCGUUGAGAUCGGAAAGAACACAAAUGGCGAAAGCACUCUGCUGGGCCGACACUGACACUGAGAGACGAAAGCUAGGGGAGCAAAUGGGAUUAGAUACCCGUGUAGUCCCUGUCUCUUAUAC
rnacentral:rRNA from 1 species